AAGCCGAAAAAGGCCCCUGCAAAGAAGAGAGAGAAGCAUAGACUUUGGCUCUCCUAAGCCCAGAGACCUAUUGGGGCCUGACCCAAAAACGUUGAUUUCCAGUAUGUUGGGCAAUCUGAACUUUCCAGUGUCACCACUGAGAUGGCCUCCCUCAAAAGAGCAGCAGUUCCUUUUUGAUUGUGGAUUCUACAGAUCGAUGUUCUCUGCCAUUUUCAUUUCAUUUCCUGAAAGUCAGGGUCGGCUUGUGAAAAGUUGUUA